GUCUACAGCCAUGCCACCCUGUCUGACCCUGUCUGAUCACGGAAGCUAAGCAGGGUCAGGCCUGGUUAGUACUUGGAUGGAAGACUACCUAGGAAGACAAGGUGCUGUAGGCA
rnacentral:rRNA from 1 species